rnacentral:rRNA from 1 species
GAUGAACGCUGGCGGCGUGCCUAAUACAUGCAAGUCGAGCGAGCGGACGAGAAGCUUCCUUCUCUGAUGGUAGCGGCGGACGGGUGAGUAACACGUAGAUAACCUACCUAUAAGACUGGGAUAACUUCGGGAAACCUGAGCUAAGACCGGGUAAUGUUUUGAACCGCAUGGUUCAAAAGUGAAAGACGGUCUUGCUGUCACUUAUAUAUUGAUCCGCGCUGCGUUAGCUAGUGGGUAAGGUAACGGCUUACCAAGGCAACGAUGCAUAGCCGACCUGAGAGUGUGAUCGGCCCCACUGGAACUGAGAGACGGUCCAGACUCCUACGGGAGGCAGCCGUAAGGACUAUUCCGCAAUGGGCGAAAGCAUGAUGGAGCAACGCCGCGUGCGUGAUGAAGGUCUUCGGAUCGUACAACUCUGUUAUUCGGGAAGAAAAUAUGUGUCAGUAACUGUGCACAUCUUGACGGUACCUAAUCAGAAAGCCACGGCUAACUACGUG